UACGUAGGGUGCAAGCGUUAUCCGGAAUCACUGGGCGUAAAGCGUGCGUAGGUGGGAAUUUAAGUGUGAUGUUAAAUCGUGUGGCUCAACCAUAUCGAUGCAUCGCAUACUGGGUUCCUAGAGGACGGCAGAGGCAAGUGGAAUAGCAGUGUAGCAGUGAAAUGCGUAGAUAUUGCUAGGAACACCAAUGGCGAAGGCAGCUUGCUGGGCCACUCCUGACACUGAGGUACGAAAGCGUGGGGAGCGAACAGG
rnacentral:rRNA from 1 species